rnacentral:rRNA from 1 species
AAAGCUCUUGCUAUUAGAUGAGCCUAAAUCAGAUUAGCUAGUUGUGGGUAAAGGCCCACCAAGGCGACGAUCUGUAACUGGUCUGAGAGGAUGAUCAGUCACACCGGAACUGAGACACGGUCCGGACUCCUACGGGAGGCAGCAGUGGGGAAUAUUGGACAAUGGGGGCAACCCUGAUCCAGCCAUGCCGCGUGUGUGAAGAAGGCCUUUUGGUUGUAAAGCACUUUAAGCAGGGAGGAGAGGCUAAUGGUUAAUACCCAUUAGAUUAGACGUUACCUGCAGAAUAAGCACCGGCUAACUCUGUGCCAGCAGCCGCGGUAAUACAGAGGGUGCGAGCGUUAAUCGGUAAUUACGUGGGCGUAAGCGACG